UAAAUUCGUUCUCCGUCGGUGCCUCAUAAAUUCGUUCUCCAUGAUUCAGUACCUUCUUCUUUAAUCUUCUGUAACGCUUCAAAAGAUGCUUUAAAAAACAAAAAAUAUAUGCAACUCUAGAAUCAUCCACGACAACCAUCAAGAUGAGAAACCCUUGCUUAACCAUUUCAAUAUUUUCGUUCCAGAAACAAUAAAAAGACCCCCAAAUUUUGCUUCUUUCUCAAGAACAGAAGGUUCAUUUUCUCUUUGAUUUCAGCUUACAAAAGCUAGAAAUCUCUUGGUGAAAUUCUUAUUUAGGGAUGAUUUCCUUUAGGGUUUUGAAUGUGCAGCUAUUGAGGAGAUAUUAUAUUGAACUUCGGUAAUUGAAGCUUAGGGGAUUUAGUUAGUCAAUUGGAUGUUUUAAUUCAAAGGUCAGAAAACAGUUUCCUGGAAACGAGAACCCUGUCAUGCUCGCAUUGCAAACUGCACUUCAGUGUAAGCGUUGUGGGGUACUCCACAUACAAUCUCUUCAACACCGCUUCCAAGAGGUCUAUACAGAAACUCACUCCAUGGCAUCCCAAAUCACUUGGAUCCCUCAAGCUCAAAAAUAGAAUCAAUUACAAAACGUUUCACAGGUGGGUUUGAGAAUGUGGGGUUGUAAUUGAUGUAUUGAUUAUAUCUAUUAAACCAAAUAAUUCUGCAGCUAGAAGUUGUUUAAGUGCGAUUUGGAAGAAACCUCCAUUUUGAUAGUCAUUGUGCCUGCCAUGUUGGUUUCAUCUUUCAUGCAAACCCUUUAGACGGUUCUAUAUUUUGGGUUAGAUUUACUCUCACCAAAAGUCUUUAAUCCCCUAUUUAAGUUGUAUUUUUCUGAUUGUAAUUGUGUUUGUUUUCUUUCAUUAAAUUUAGGUUCAUACAUACACACAGUCUAUGGAAUCCCAAGUCAGUUGCAGCCUUCCAAAGUUACCUUUUAGAAUCAUUUACGAAGAGGUUCCCACCAAAUCUGCACCUUGAUCCAAUUUGAAUUUACUAAGCCAUAUUUGUUUAUAAGAAAUCGUCAUCUCCUGACACUAUGACACAUUUUACCUGUGCAACACAAGAUAUCAGAGAAGCAAUAACAUUAUUUUCCGUGGCUUCUAUGACACAUUGUACCUGGGAUGUAGGUUCAUACACACACUUAGGAUAUCGCAAUAACAAUGCAGCUACUUGAAAUAAAUCAAAGAAGGUCCAGGUGGUCGUGAACCCAAUAUCCUGAAGGUAUGCAUAUUUAUCAACUGCAUUAUGCUCUAUCUAUGUUGCGUUCGGGUCUUCCGUUGUUGGUUCACGGGAUCCGUUCGUUAAUGUUGAUUCUUGCAUCAAGCCCAUAUCAACUCAUUAUUUAUGGAGUUUAGCAUUACAUCCGGAUGAUAGAAUACUCUGGCAGCUUGAAGCAAAGUAUCGAACGUUUACAACUUUCUUUUCGUACUUCCGUGACCCUCAUGUGUCAGCUGCAGGUGCCUUUUAAUUAACUUGCAUAGCUGUUUUUUUUUUUUAAACUUUCAUAGAUACUAAGCAAAAUCACUUUUCUGAGCUACAUGAGAAAUCUUCACUCAAGAAUGUGUGAAUUAAUGAAAUAAUGAAUCUUGGUUCCGCUAUUAUAUAUUAAUUCCCGUUAAGAGAUGUGAGGUCUGUGCGAAAGUAAAUUUUCUUUCACUUUCCUUGGUUUUGUGGUUAGCAUCAUCUCAAUACCAAUCUUACCAUGGUAAGAGGAUACUGUCAAGAUAUAAAAUUUCAUAUCUCAAAGCUCUCUAAUAACAAAAUUAACUUAAAUUUCACUUUUAAAUUUUGAGAUAUUUUGGAAAUGCAGAUAGCCAAGGCAACUAUACUUAUAACUCAUUAACUGUUACAUAGGUGUCGUAUAAAGUAUAAUUAUAGAGAGGGGGGAGUUGAUGAAGCAUCGGGAUUACAAAUAAGGUGUCUAUCAACUUAAUCAAUCUAUAUGUAAAAUUACAAGCAAGGAGAUGCACCAGCAACAAUGAACAAACAAAAAUCGUUAUCUGAUUAUUUAAUUUUUUCGCAUUCCUAUAUUAAAAAGUCUCAUCCUCAUGUUGCCAUCAUUUUCUCCAAUCUAUAUUGACAGUUUUAGGUGAAAAUUAUCAGUGCUCAUGCAACAUCUCCACUUGCGAGAGACUUGGCAGAUGUUAAUGCCAUCAAGAGACUCUGUAAGACCACAUCCGAGAUUAAGGGAAAAACACUCGCUCAGUUCCACAGAUGUGACAACCGUAAGAUUUGUCGGGUAUAUGUGACAUAUAACAAGAGUGGAAACGGUAGAUUUCAGGUACAUCCACGAAGAUUGGAGACUACAUUUAGAAUUCUGAGAAAGCUGUGAGAAACCUGUGAAUUGAAUGGUUGGUGGUACCAUAAGAUUUUAAGUGUGCUAUGUUUUUUCUCCCUUCGUUUUUUUAUUUACCUUUCAUGUACUGUUAAACUCUUGGCAAUUGAGGACGCAUUUUAGAUCCA